GACGAACGCUGGCGGCGUGCCUAAUACAUGCAAGUCGAACGAGUGGCGGACGGGUGAGUAAUGCUUGGGAAUCUAGCUUAUGGAGGGGGAUAACUACGGGAAACUGUAGCUAAUACCGCGUACCAUAGGAUGAGCCCAAGUGGGAUUAGGUAGUUGGUGGGGUAAAGGCUCACAAAGCCGACGAACUCUAGCUGGUCUGAGAGGAUGACCAGCAAGACUGGGACUGAGACACGGCCCAGACUCCUACGGGAGGCAGCAGUGGGGAAUAUUGCGCAAUGGGGGCAACCUGUCGCAGCCAUGCCGCGUGAAUGAGGAAGGCCGUCGGGUUGUAAAGUGCUUUCGGUAGCGAGGCGUUAACUACAGAAGAAGCACCGGCUAACUCCGUGCCAGCAGCCGCGGUAAUAC
rnacentral:rRNA from 1 species